rnacentral:misc_RNA from 1 species
UAUUGAUAUAAAAAUCUCGGCCAACAGAUGGCGCGGUGAAAAUGGGAUUUACGUGAUCCGACGGUGGAAAAAUUGUUCGGCUUUUACGAUUAAAAAACAAAAUGAGUACAGUAGCCUUACAAACAAUAUUAUUUAUUUUGGGUUUAUAUUGCGUUGUUUUCAUUCAAGGAAAUAGAGUGUCCGAAUUAAGCGAUAGAUUCUUGGAAUUAAGGAAUGAAGGUGUUUGGCUAGUAAUGUUUUAUGCACCAUGGUGUGGACAUUGCAAAAAUCUUGAACCAAUUUGGAAUCAGGUUGCUCAAUCACUAGUCGAUCUAGAAAUUCGAGUUGGAAGAGUUGACUGUACACGUUUUACUAAUGUUGCAACAGAAUUUGGAGUUCAUGGUUUUCCUACAAUAUUAUUUAUAAAAGGUCAUAAAACAGUUGAAUAUAAAGGAGAUAGAGUCAGAGAAGAAAUUGUUGAGUUUGCUUGGAGAAUGGAUGGUCCACCAGUACGUCAUUUCCCAAGCUGUGAUGAAUUUCAUAAUGCCAGAAAUAAUAAAAAAGUUUUCUUUCUGUAUGUUGAUGGAAAUAAUUUAGAUCAAAAUGUGGCAUUAAAGGAUGAAUAUACUAGAAUAGCAGAAGAAUUUCAACCUUUGAUAUAUUUCUAUACUGCUCCAACAUUUUGCCUCUCUCGAAUCAAUGGAUUUAAAAUACCAACUAAAGCAUCUGUUUAUGUUUUUAAAGAUAAAACAAGUUUUAAAUUUGAUGAAGAAGAAGGAAGUCUUAAAAAUAUUACACUUCGUGCGUGGAUAAAUUGGGAACGUUUCCCAGCAUUUUUAAAAAUAACCCAUGGUAAUUUUUAUCAAUUACUAAAAACUGGAAAAAAUAUUGCUAUUGCUGUUCUUGAAGAAAAUCUGAUUGGUGGACUCUCAAUGAAAAUGAGAGAAUUUAAAGAUGUAGUAGAAGCAAUAGCAACAACUAAUCGAGACAGAUAUCAUGAGCACAUUAUUUUUGGAUGGCUGGGUCAACCCGAUCUAGCAAACUCAGUAGCUAUGAUGUCUCUUUCUGUUCCCAAUUUUAUAAUAAUAAAUUCAGUUACUUACCAAUAUUACAUGCCUCCUGUAAUAGAAGAUGAAAAAGUUCCUUCACCUCAAACUAUGAUUGCACUUUUGGAUCAAGUAAUUAAUAAAUCAGCACCAGCUUAUGGUGGUGACACAAUGUUUUAUCGUCUGUAUAGAGCAUAUUUUGAGGCAAAAACUUCAUUAAUGAGCAUGUGGAAAGGCAAUCCAUUACUAACAACUUUAUUAUUGGGUCUACCACUUGGCCUACUUAGCAUUAUUUGCUAUACCUCUUGCUGCAGUGAUAUCUUGGAAGCAGAAGAUGAAGAACCACCAUAUGCUCAAAGUCAUGAAAAGAAAGAAUAAAUUUUUAUUUUCCAAAAGAACACUGUUUUUACCUGGGAUCCAUCCAAGAUUUUGAACUUGUUGAAGAAGCCCACUGAGUAUAUUUUAAAGUGCAAAAAACUAAACAAAGUGAU